UUUUAAAUUACCAUACUAUCCUCUUAUAAUAAAAAAAAGGGUUAAGUUGCAAACUACUCACUUUUUUAAACUUAAUUAGAAAAGUAGUCACUUUACUAUUCAUAAUUUGCAAAAUAGUCACCUUUUACUGUUUGAUUCGUACACUUCGAUAGUACACCACUUUUAGUGUACAUAUGUAUAUAAAAAAUACACAGCGUACACUUUACAUUUGUACACUAAAAAUGAUGUACAAUCCAAGUAUACGAAUCAAACAGUGAAAAGUGAAUACUUUGCAAAUUAUGAAUAAUAAAAUGACUACUUUCCUAAUUAAGUUUGAAAAAUUGACUAUUUUACUAACACACCCUAAAAAAAAUCCAGUUUGGUUAUUCACCAAAUUAAUCCUCUAUUUUCUUUAUUUUAUUGUAGUUAGAUACGUUUUCU
rnacentral:sRNA from 1 species